GGACUACCAGGGUAUCUAAUCCUGUUUGAUCCCCACGCUUUCGUGCCUCAGCGUCAAUCAUACUUUAGUAAGCUGCCUUCGCAAUCGGUGUUCUGUGACAUAUCUAUGCAUUUCACCGCUACUUGUCACAUUCCGCCUACUUCAAGUACAUUCAAGCUCAUCAGUAUCAAGGGCACUGCGAUAGUUGAGCUACCGUCUUUCACCCCUGACUUAAUAAGCCGCCUACGCACCCUUUAAACCCAAUAAAUCCGGAUAACGCUUGGAUCCUCCGUAUUACCGCGGCGGCUGGCAC
rnacentral:rRNA from 1 species